CCUCUUGAUCAAUCAUAAGAGGUAACGCCUGCCCAGUGACAGGAUUCAACGGCCGCGGUACUCUGACCGUGCGAAGGUAGCACAAUCACUUGUUCUUUAAAUAAGGACCGGAAUCAAUGGCAUCACGAGGGUCCAACUGUCUCCUUUUUCUAAUCAGUGAAACUGAUCUCCCCGUGAAGAAGCGGGGAUAGAAAUAUAAGACGAGAAGACCCCAUGGAGCUUUAAACUCAACAAUUAACCCACGUAAUACUACUUUGUAACUCAGAGGCUAUAUUUGUCAGUUUUAGGUUGGGGUGACCGCGGAGAAAAACUUAACCUCCACAAUGAACAAAAUAAGGAUUUAAUCUAAGAGACUACAUCUCUAAGAAUUAAUAUAUUAACAUGCGUGAUCCGACACAAGUCGAUCAAGGAACCAAGUUACCCUGGGGAUAACAGCGCCAUCCACUUUAAGAGCCCCUAUCGACGAGUGGGUUUACGACCUCGAUGUUGGAUCAGGGUAUCCCAGUG
rnacentral:rRNA from 1 species